rnacentral:rRNA from 1 species
UACGAAGGGGGCUAGCGUUGCUCGGAAUCACUGGGCGUAAAGGGUGCGUAGGCGGGUCUUAAGUCAGGGGUGAAAUCCUGGAGCUCAACUCCAGAACUGCCUUUGAUACUGGCGACCUUGAGUCCGGGAGAGGUGAGUGGAACUGCGAGUGUAGAGGUGAAAUUCGUAGAUAUUCGCAAGAACACCAGUGGCGAAGGCGGCUCACUGGCCCGGUACUGACGCUGAGGUGCGAAAGCGUGGGGAGCAAACAGG